CCCGGGUUAGGCCAGUGGCCGGAGGCAGAGCCGGGCCUUGAACCUGGCUUUCUGGAUCUUCAUCCAGGCCAUUCUAAAGGGGAUCACAGUUUCCAGGAGUCACUCCUGAAGAUGGUCAAGUACCAUGGAGGGGCAGGGCAUCCAUGGACCCUGAUUUGAGGCCCCGGAGCAGUUGGGACUGGUUUGGGCCACGGCUGGCCUAAUCUCCCCUCCACAGAGCCUGGGCAUUGUCCAGUUGGCAGCCAAGAGCCAUCUAUCCACUUUACAGCGGGCAGCUUUGACAGGCUGCUUGUUUCCAAGGACAAAGCCUGCAGGCUGUGGGUAGGCGAUAGCCACUGCGGACCUCGGGCUCAUUGCCUGGGUACAGGGGGUGGGGAGCCUGAGGUCUGCCAGGACCCAAGGGAGCCUCGAGGGUGGCCUGAGGACAUUGGGUCCUCACUCCUGGCCCCUCAGCCAACCCCCUCAUAGCCCAGGGCCAGGAAUUUUGGAAGGAAGAACCAGCCACUGGGAUGUUUUCACUUUUGGGUCACCCUGAUCCCCCCAGAAUCGAGGCUUGGCCAUCAGCCAGCUUUUAUGUGACCCAGGCAGCUCUCUCCACUCUGUUUCUUCUUCUACAGAAUGUUGAGAAUCACCUCUUUCUCUCAGGGACAUAAAGCAUGGCUGUGAGAGAGAUUUGUGAGUGUUGGGGUCACUGUAAUUACUCUCUGAGGGUGCCUGUCUUGAGCUCUGUAGACAAAGUGGGAUCCCUUCCCCUCUCUCAUACCCCUACAAACUUUGGGCCUCGAGUAUCCAGGAUGGGCCCAGAACCAGCACUGGCACAGCCUCCUCUCUGGCCUGAUCCAAGCCCUCUCCCACACAGCAGUCAGGCUGAUCUUCCUAAAAUUUCCGUCUAUUGAGCUUACAUUAAAAUAAUAAUAAUAAUAAUAAUAAUAAUAAUAAUAAUAAUAAUAACAACAUUUCUGUCUGAUUUUGUCUCUCCUCUGCUCAAAAUCCCUCUGUGGAUCCCUAGUGCCUCCAGGAGAAAGUCCACCCUUCCUCUCACGGCUCACCCAAUCUACCCCAGCCGUGGCUCCUCCCUCACUGUGCCUCUUCCCCUUACCUUCUAGCCAGAGUGAAAUCCCCAGGCCUCUGCGUGCACCAUUCCCUCUGCUUAGGAAUAGGCAGACCUGCCCCCAGGUCUUUUCUGGUUCAUUUCCACUUAUCCUUCAGGUUUCUAGGAUGCUUUCCCUGACCUCCACUUAAAUUGGCUCAGGAGUUCCCUGAUCUCCACAAAUGUCAGGAACUUGUCCACCCGCCUGCCCCCAGCACCCAGGUUACACCUGACAAAAUGAUCUGUGACAUGCCUGGCCUGGAGCCUGGCACACAGCAGGUGCUCAGUAAAUACAUAUUUGGCCGGGCGCGAUGACUCACGUCUGUA
rnacentral:lncRNA from 1 species